GGGGGAAGCUCUGCUUCAGCUGUGGGGCCACAGAUGGCAGGACUGUGUGAUGAUCUCCACCAUGACGUGGUCCCCUAUCCUCCUCACCCUCAUCACUCUGCAUAGGAUCCUGGGCCCAGUCAGUGCUGACUCAGCCACCUUCAGUGUCUGGGACCCUGGGCCAGAGGGUCACCAUCUCCUGCACUGGAAGCAGCUCUAACAUUGGUG